rnacentral:lncRNA from 1 species
UCUGUGUUUUAAACCACAAAGUCCAUCUAAUUUCACCUGCUUUAACACCAUUCUAAUUUGUCUGAUCUCUUUUAGGUUUGGAUUAAAAAGUGUUGCUGGACUUGGUUGAUUAAAAAUAACUGAAGUCAGAGAGAAUUGUGGGAACCUCUGAGGCACAGGGGAUCUGAAGGGGGCAGGACAAAGGUUUCAGGGACCACACAGGCUGCUCCCCAAAUUGCAACAAAGGUGUGGGAUUUUCUUUUCCUCAAACUGCAGCUAUUGUUAUCUACCCUAUUAUUAAGAAGUUUAAGAAAUGUAACAUCAAUGACUUCCUUUUCAUCUUUGUGGAGUGGAGCAUUUGACAGUAAGUUAAAAUCCUAAAUAAAAUAUGAAAGCUGCCAGCACAUGCCAAAAGUCUCUCGGAGAGCAUAUAUGAAAAGUUGCUCCUAAGACGCAAAUGCCACUAAUACCAUAUGAAAAUUGCAAAAAGGUAUAUGAAAG